rnacentral:rRNA from 1 species
GUGGGGAAUAUUGGACAAUGGGCGAAAGCCUGAUCCAGCCAUGCCGCGUGUGUGAAGAAGGUCUUCGGAUUGUAAAGCACUUUAAGUUGGGAGGAAGGGCAGUAAGUUAAUACCUUGCUGUUUUGACGUUACCAACAGAAUAAGCACCGGCUAACUUCGUGCCAGCAGCCGCGGUAAUACGAAGGGUGCAAGCGUUAAUCGGAAUUACUGGGCGUAAAGCGCGCGUAGGUGGUUCAGCAAGUUGGAUGUGAAAGCCCCGGGCUCAACCUGGGAAUUGCAUCCAAAACUACUGAGCUAGAGUACGGUAGAGGGUGGUGGAAUUUCCGGUGUAGCGGUGAAAUGCGUAGAUAUAGGAAGGAACACCAGUGGCGAAGGCGACCACCUGGACUGAUACUGACACUGAGGUGCGAAAGCGUGGGGAGCAAACAGGAUUAGAAACCCGGGUAGUCC